AACAAACUUAAGAGUUUAGACCAACAAAACACAUAUUAAAAUGGACGUGGUUCGAUUAAUAACUUUAGUUAUUCUCUUGUUCUUUGCAUCCUCGAAUACAGUCUUCGCUGGAUUACCAUACGAUUACGAAUCUCACAAUACAAAAAUUGGAGAAGCGGUUUGGGAUCAGAAGCUCCUCAUCAAGAUCAGGGGUCAAGUAAAGCCCAGUAAAUCACGGCCCGCUAAAGGAAAAAGAAAAUGGAGUAGUUCUGAAGAUUCUAAUUUGAAUCAAUGGGAGUGUAAUGUUAACAGUGAAGCAUGUUAUGAUAACUCAUACUAAUAACAAUAUGACCAAUUCAUAUGUGACUCCGUUUCAUAUGUGGGAAUGUAUUAUCAGUUUCUAUAGAACACUACUCUAUUAAGUAUUGUUAUAAGU